UUGCAAAGGGAGGAAACUGAGGCACUGACAGGUCAGAGCGCCUUCGAGGGAGGAAGGCGGUGGCCUCCACGCUGCGGUCUCCUUAACUGCACCCUGGGAAGUCUGCACACUGCCUUUCUUUCCCCUGGUGGUCUAAUCUGGAGUCAGGUCCAGGCGCUAGCUCUACACUGGGCAACACCGGACCGGGAGCCAAGAGGAAAACAACAGGUUUCUAUAAUUCAUCAUUCACUCCUUUCUGAAGACCUCAAAUGAAAGUUUAGCAGCUCAGCGCCCCGGCCUCUCUCCAUUCUCUGCCCAAACACAUCGGCCUGUUUGUUCUCUUUCAUCCCUGCUCUUCCUGUUGCAUUCUGCCCGUUCAAUGGGGAAAGAGUGAAACCGGAUGGCUGGACCCAGUGCGGGGAAAUGACUUCAGAGCCACCUUUGUUUCCCCUCAUUCCUUUGAGCACACUUGGCCCCGCGUCUCUAUGAAAGGGCUUGUUUGAACCAUUUGGAACAUCCAGCGAGUGAAAGAUGCUGCAGCCAGAAUCGCUCACAUCUUUUCAGGCUGCCUGAGACUCUGGGUUAAACUGCCAAAUUUUUGCAACAAAACUAACCAUGACAUUGGACAUUGUGUUAUAAAUUAGCCACAGCCUUCCAAGCAAAUUGUCUCUUUUUAUUGUAUCAGUGUAAGCCUUUGGAACAU